UUAUACAGCGAAACUGCGAAUGGCUCAUUAUAUAAGUUAUCGUUUAUUUGAUAGUACCUUACUACUUGGAUAACCGUGGUAAUUCUAGAGCUAAUACAUGCUAAAAAUCCCGACUUCGGAAGGGAUGUAUUUAUUAGAUUAAAAACCAAUGCCCUUCGGGGCUCUCUGGUGAUUCAUGAUAACUUCUCGAAUCGCACGGCCUUGUGCCGGCGAUGGUUCAUUCAAAUUUCUUCCCUAUCAACUUUCGAUGUUUGGGUCUUGGCCAAACAUGGUUGCAACGGGUAACGGAGGGUUAGGGCUCGACCCCGGAGAAGGAGCCUGAGAAACGGCUACUACAUCCAAGGAAGGCAGCAGGCGCGCAAAUUACCCAAUCCCGACACGGGGAGGUAGUGACAAUAAAUACUGAUACAGGGCUCUUUUGGGUCUUGUAAUUGGAAUGAGUACAAUUUAAAUCCCUUAACGAGGAACAAUUGGAGGGCAAGUCUGGUGCCAGCAGCCGCGGUAAUUCCAGCUCCAAUAGCGUAUAUUAAAGUUGUUGUGGUUAAAAAGCUCGUAGUUGAACCUUGGGCCUGGCUGGCCGGUCCGCCUCACCGCGUGUACUGGUCCGGCCGGGUCUUUCCCCCUGUGGAACCCCAUGCCCUUCACUGGGUGUGGCGGGAAAACAGGACUUUUACUUUGAAAAAAUUAGAGUGCUCCAGGCAGGCCUAUGCUCGAAUACAUUAGCAUGGAAUAAUAGAAUAGGACGUGUGGUUCUAUUUUUGUUGGUUUCUAGGACCGCCGUAAUGAUUAAUAGGGACAGUCGGGGGCAUCAGUAUUCAAUCGUCAGAGGUGAAAUUCUUGGAUUGAUUGAAGACUAACUACUGCGAAAGCAUUUGCCAAGGAUGUUUUCAUUAAUCAGGAACGAAAGUUAGGGGAUCGAAGACGAUCAGAUACCGUCGUAGUCUUAACCAUAAACUAUGCCGACUAGGGAUCGGACGAUGUUAUUUUUUGACUCGUUCGGCACCUUACGAGAAAUCAAAGUGCUUGGGCUCCA
rnacentral:rRNA from 1 species